rnacentral:lncRNA from 1 species
GAGAGGUGGAAGACAUCCUGCAGGUACACAGGGAGUCCUGCCACUAGCAGAAGAAAGAAGGGCCCAACAUCUUCAGGCUCCAAAACCCAGACCUUGUAAGGACAGUUGCUGAAGUGCUGGUAGGGAGAAAGGUGAUGAUGUGUGACAAAGCCUGGUCCAUCUACCUUCAAUACACUACAUAUGGUCCCUGAUGGCACUGCUGCAUAGCAUCCUGUAGCUGACAACCUGAGCACCAAGAAUGGGAAAGAAGGUGUCCUGGGACUGCAGCACUGAAGAUCAGUUAUUCUCUUUGACCUCUGCUGCCGGCAACAGCCCUGGUUUCUCAGUGCUGCUGCUCCUGGAGAGACCCACAUACUGUCAGCCUGACUUUGGCAACCCAGUGGCUGGAGUGAAGCGCAGUCUUUCUUGGGCUGCAGCCACAUCACAGUCUGAUCAUGGAUAGUAAUAUCCCUCUGCAGAGCCAAGGCUGCUCAUAUCAGAGGUGCUGAGCCAGCAUGGGCACUGGCUGUCUCCUCUGGUGAGAACAGGGUCCAGAAGUACACACAGAGUGCUGAGGCUGGGGAAAACAGCACGGAGGAAAGGAUGCUGUUAAAUUGCCACAGUUCCUGUUUCCAUGAGGCCAGUUGCUCUGAGUUAGGUAAGCCUUUCUGCAGCCAGGGUUCCCCUGCAAUGUGCCAGGAGUAAUUGUGUAUCUGCUGGUUUACAUCAGUUCCAGCAGCAUGGACAUGGCUGUCCACAAAAGGAUCUACCAUAGCAGCAAAUGAAAGACACAGUUAUACUGGAGCUGCACUUCUAUCUGUUGCCCAUUGGAAACUCAAACUGUGCUCUCUGCUGUGUUUCAAACAGUUUUACAAUGCCAAAAACCCCACUUUCAGCUCUCAGGUGUGUGCUGUCUGCCACAGACUGGGGACCCUGCGCAUGGAUUUUGCAUCAUCUAUUUCUGCACUGCACACACUUUCACCAGAGUCUGGAUUCGUGACCCAAAGGGAGUCCCUAUUCAGGAAACACAAAGGUAGACAAUGCUGUCCCUUUGUAUGCAGACCACCACCCAGGAGGUGCCUAUGCAUACAGCACCACACCUGAGAUGCAGGGACCUUUCUCAGGUCAUUGCUAGAUAAAUAAGUGCGGAUGCCUGCAUCUGCGUGGGAUGAGGAUCUCCUUGCUGACAGCUUUCAAGGAAACCAUGUCCUUUGCUCCUGGUCUCCACCAGCCCCUGGCGAGGUGGGCAGAUGCUGGCAGCUGGUCAUGUAUGGGCGAUGAGUCACCCAUAGCAGGUUGGUCUUGUCACCAAGGCUGACAACAUCUCUCUGGGGUACGUUUCAUCUUCUGCUUUUGAUUCCACCUGCGCUCCCCUAUCACGUGCAUCAAGCGGUGCAGAGGGCUCUCUUCCACAAGGCCACGGGCUCAGAGUCCCCAGAAAGCCAGAUCAGCAUUCUCAGGUUUCCGUUUAUUGCCAGUAAUUUGUCACUUGUUGCACUGCUAUUAAUAUGGAGCCAUGACAAAGUUCAAAAGUCCGUGAGUGGUAAUGGAAAUGAUGAGACUACUUGGUGGAAAUUAGUCUUGCUUUCCAUUGGGCAUCAGAUGAAAAAGAAACUUGUGAUUUUCCUCUGCACUGUAGCAAUGCCUGAAUAGGAGAUGAAUAGCAGAUAAGGCCUAAACCUUGCACCUCAGUGUGAAUAAUAUUGAACUUUGCCAGCUGCAUGGCAGAGCCACAUGUACGGCAGCAAACUAAGGGAGAAAAAAGAAAGGAUAGGCUUCUUAUGAGAAGCAUCUGAUCAACAGAAGAAAGGAUUUCACCACCAGAUACACUACUGUUUUCUGUAUGCUUCAAUUUUUCACCAUGGGAAAAAAAAAGGGGGGGGGAAAGGAAAGCACUGAGAGGUUUGGGGUUGAAAAUACUCUCUGAUUCCUGAGAUACCCUUACUGUAUGAAAAUUUUCAAGCAAAUAAAAUUUACUUUCAUAUAGCUUUCUUCA